GCUGACCCGAGGCAAGGGAGCCGGCGCACUCACCCUUAGCCGCUAAGGAGUCUGCGGUGUCGGCGAAAGCUCCGGACAUGAUUUUGGAAGAUACGGGGUUUCUCCAUUUUGAUGUCAGACUGGUCUCGAACUCCCGACCUCAGGUGAUCCACCCGCCUCGGCCCCCCAAAGUGCUGGCAUUACAAGCGAGAUACCUGAGUGAGGCAUGGUAAACCAGUCCCAGCAGACCACUCUCUGAAGAUGUUGGCUUGAUAUGUGCUGGAAGAUGAAAAAGCAUACAGAAUGCAGGACAACAUAAAGAAAAUAGAACCGAGAAGUUAUGCUAAGUAUAUAAACAAACCAAGAGUAUGGAUUGGAAUGCUGUUUUCUUUGGACAGAUCAAUGUUCUUUUGGAAAGAUAGAAUGAAGCUGAAUAAGUUGCAGAAAAGGUCAAAUAAAAUGAUUGUGUCCAAAA